GAUGAACGCUAGCGACAGGCUUAACACAUGCAAGUCGAGGGGCAGCAUAGAAGUAGCAAUACUUUGGUGGCGACCGGCGCACGGGUGAGUAACGCGUAUGCAACCUACCCAUCAGAGGGGAAUAACCCGGCGAAAGUCGGACUAAUACCGCAUAAAACAGGGACACCGCAUGGUGAUAUUUGUUAAAGAAAUUCGCUGAUAGAUGGGCAUGCGUUCCAUUAGGUAGUUGGUGAGGUAACGGCUCACCAAGCCGACGAUGGAUAGGGGAACUGAGAGGUUGGUCCCCCACACUGGUACUGAGACACGGACCAGACUCCUACGGGAGGCAGCAGUGAGGAAUAUUGGUCAAUGGGCGAGAGCCUGAACCAGCCAAGUCGCGUGAAGGAAGAAGGAUCUAUGGUUCGUAAACUUCUUUUGCAGGGGAAUAAAGUGCAGGACGUGUCCUGUUUUGUAUGUACCCUGAGAAUAAGGAUCGGCUAACUCCGUGCCAGCCGCCGCAGUAAAAC
rnacentral:rRNA from 1 species